CCUUGUUGAAGAAGGCGAGUUUUAAUGUCGAUGCUUGGUUUCGGAAAAUUGUGGACAUCCAUGGACAAAAUCCCUGAUAAGUGUGCCACAGAUCCGAGAGGACRUCAUUGUGAGGCAACUGUCGAAGGGGGGAAACUGUGUCAAAAAAAGACGAUCRCCGAAAAAAGGACAUUGAAGCCGGCGAGAGCAUGUCCAGCAGAACAAGGGGGUAUCUGCAAUCAUGUGCCAGCACUACUGUUUGAGUUGGAGCAAUAUCGAGCUUGUGGGGUGGUGGAACUACAAAGUAAACCAGUCUGCACCCAGUUGCCUUGUUCAUGGAAGGGAUGAGCCCAAAAACGAACUGCCGAACAAACUACUUGUGAUGAGCAGCAAAUUUUAAUGUGUCAUUUAAGACAUGAGGUCGGCGUGGAGGUCUCCUGGAAAACGUUGAACUUUUGACCCAUGACAUCCUGACGACCUGAAUGAAAACACCACUGCUGAUCUUCAUAAGGAUAUUUGGAGCGUUGAAUCUUCUUUGCCAUUUUGCAGGUAUGCCGUGCCUCUGGUUGCYRUGCCAGAUCCUGACCCUCAACCAGAUGACGCAGCUGACGACCUAGGCCYGCAUCCAGUCUCCA